rnacentral:sRNA from 1 species
GCCUGCACCUUGCUAUUUUGUGAUACAAAUAUACCGUAUGUUCAAUAUGAACGAAUAGUGGAAUGAAUGUGAGUAUGAGAUUAGGGAUUAAUGAGAGCAGAUAAAAUUACAUUAUUUGAUUAUCUUGUAGCAGUAAACAACUCAGACAUGUCACUUUUAAUUGAAGUGAUCAGCCUGUUUAUUUUGCACUGUUCCAAAAUUCAUUAAGGGCUGUAGCCAAGGCCAGACUUUCAUAAUAUUUAAUCAUCCUCACUGACAGGUUUGCAUAAAAAACAUGAACACAGCAAAUGGUUUUCAAUGACAGACUUAAUUUUAUUUAUAAUCAUGAUGUAAUCAUGUUUGCUUCUGAAGAUCCUGAUGAGAUAACUGCAUCUUGAAACUGAAGGUUUUAUGACUAAACAUAGAACAUAUUGCAUGCUGAUCUAAAACAUAAAUAGUGAAUGUGGAAAUAUAUGUAUUGUAUUUACAUGUAUAAUCUUUAUAGCACUAUGGAUUUGUCUGUUUAAUCAUUUAUUGUACCUGUGCAUGAUAUGCGUUAUUACAGUUUUCC